UACGUAGGGUGCGAGCGUUAAUCGGAAUUACUGGGCGUAAAGCGAGCGCAGACGGUUACUUAAGCAGGAUGUGAAAUCCCCGGGCUCAACCUGGGAACUGCGUUCUGAACUGGGUGACUAGAGUGUGUCAGAGGGAGGUAGAAUUCCACGUGUAGCAGUGAAAUGCGUAGAGAUGUGGAGGAAUACCGAUGGCGAAGGCAGCCUCCUGGGAUAACACUGACGUUCAUGCUCGAAAGCGUGGGUAGCAAAC
rnacentral:rRNA from 3 species